rnacentral:tRNA from 1 species
GGCGCCAUGGCUUAGUAGUAAAGCGCCUGUCUAGUUAACAGGAGAUCCUGGGUUCGAUCCCCAGUGGUGCCU